UACGGAGGGUACAAGCGUUGUCCGGAUUUAUUGGGUUUAAAGGGUGCGUAGGUGGCUUGUUAAGUCCGGGGUGAAAGCCCACAGCUCAACUGUGGAACUGCCCUGGAUACUGGCGAGCUUGAGUCCAGACGAGGUUGGCGGAAUGGAUGCUGUAGCGGUGAAAUGCAUAGAUAGCAUCCAGAACCCCGAUUGCGUAGGCAGCUGACUAGGCUGGUACUGACACUGAGGCACGAAAGCGUGGGGAGCGAACAGG
rnacentral:rRNA from 1 species